rnacentral:rRNA from 1 species
AUUGAACGCUGGCGGCAUGCCUUACACAUGCAAGUCGAACGGUAACAGGUUAAGCUGACGAGUGGCGAACGGGUGAGUAAUGUAUCGGAACGUGCCAGUCGUGGGGGAUAACUGCUCGAAAGAGCAGCUAAUACCGCAUACGACCUGAGGGUGAAAGCGGGGGAUCGCAAGACCUCGCGCGAUUGGAGCGGCCGAUAUCAGAUUAGGUAGUUGGUGGGGUAAAGGCCUACCAAGCCUACGAUCUGUAGCUGGUCUGAGAGGACGACCAGCCACACUGGGACUGAGACACGGCCCAGACUCCUACGGGAGGCAGCAGUGGGGAAUUUUGGACAAUGGACGCAAGUCUGAUCCAGCCAUGCCGCGUGCGGGAAGAAGGCCUUCGGGUUGUAAACCGCUUUUGUCAGGGAAGAAAAGGUUCUGGUUAAUACCUGGGACUCAUGACGGUACCUGAAGAAUAAGCACCGGCUAACUACGUGCCAGCCGCCGCGGUAACAC